AGGCUUAACACAUGCAAGUCGAGCGGGCGUAGCAAUACGUCAGCGGCAGACGGGAGAGUAACACGUGGGAACGCGCCCUUCGGUUCGGAAUAACUCAGGGAAACUUGAGCUAAUACCGGAUACGCCCUAACGGGGAAAGAUUUAUUGCCGAAGGAACGGCCCGCGUCGGAUUAGCUAGUUGGUGAGGUAAUGGCUCACCAAGGCGACGAUCCGUAGCUGGUCUGAGAGGAUGAUCAGCCUCGCUGGGACUGAGACACGGCCCAGACUCCUACGGGAGGCAGCAGUGGGGAAUAUUGGACAAUGGGCGCAAGCCUGAUCCAGCCAUGCCGCGUGGAUGAUGAAGGCCUUAGGGUUGUAAAGUCCUUUUAACGGGGAAGAUAAUGACGGUACCCGUAGAAUAAGCCCCGGCUAACUUCCGUGCCAGCAGCCGCGGUAAUACGAAGGGGGCUAGCGUUGCUCGGAAUUACUGGGCGUAAAGCGCCACGUAGGCGGCUUGUUAAGUCAGCGGGUGAAAGCCUGGAGCUCCACUCCAGAACUGCCCUUUGAUACUGACGAGCUUGAGUCGGGAGAGGUGAGUGGAACUGCGAGUGUAGAGGUGAAAU
rnacentral:rRNA from 1 species